AGUGAACGCUGGCGGUAGGCCUAACACAUGCAAGUCGAACGGCAGCACAGUAAGAGCUUGCUCUUACGGGUGGCGAGUGGCGGACGGGUGAGGAAUACAUCGGAAUCUACUUUUUCGUGGGGGAUAACGUAGGGAAACUUACGCUAAUACCGCAUACGACCUACGGGUGAAAGCAGGGGAUCUUCGGACCUUGCGCGAUUGAAUGAGCCGAUGUCGGAUUAGCUAGUUGGCGGGGUAAAGGCCCACCAAGGCGACGAUCCGUAGCUGGUCUGAGAGGAUGAUCAGCCACACUGGAACUGAGACACGGUCCAGACUCCUACGGGAGGCAGCAGUGGGGAAUAUUGGACAAUGGGCGCAAGCCUGAUCCAGCCAUACUGCGUGGGUGAAGAAGGCCUUCGGGUUGUAAAGCCCUUUUGUUGGGAAAGAAAAGCAGUAGGUUAAUACCCCGCUGUUCUGACGGUACCCAAAGAAUAAGCACCGGCUAACUUCGUG
rnacentral:rRNA from 1 species